rnacentral:rRNA from 1 species
CCUACGGGAUGCUGCAGUGGGGAAUAUUGGACAAUGGGCGAAAGCCUGAUCCAGCCAUGCCGCGUGUGUGAAGAAGGCCUUCGGGUUGUAAAGCACUUUCAGUGGGGAAGAAAGCCUUGGGGCUAAUACCCUCGAGGAAGGACAUCACCCACAGAAGAAGCACCGGCUAACUCCGUGCCAGCAGCCGCGGUAAUACGGAGGGUGCGAGCGUUAAUCGGAAUUACUGGGCGUAAAGCGCGCGUAGGCGGUCUGAUAAGCCGGUUGUGAAAGCCCCGGGCUCAACCUGGGAACGGCAUCCGGAACUGUCAGGCUAGAGUGCAGGAGAGGAAGGUAGAAUUCCCGGUGUAGCGGUGAAAUGCGUAGAGAUCGGGAGGAAUACCAGUGGCGAAGGCGGCCUUCUGGACUGACACUGACGCUGAGGUGCGAAAGCGUGGGUAGCAAACAGGAUUAGAUACCCGUGUAGUC